rnacentral:rRNA from 1 species
UGAGUAAUGUAUCGGAACGUGCCCAGUAGCGGGGGAUAACUACGCGAAAGCGUAGCUAAUACCGCAUACGCCCUACGGGGGAAAGGGGGGGAUCGCAAGACCUCUCACUAUUGGAGCGGCCGAUAUCGGAUUAGCUAGUUGGUGAGGUAAAGGCUCACCAAGGCUUCGAUCCGUAGCUGGUUUGAGAGGACGACCAGCCACACUGGGACUGAGACACGGCCCAGACUCCUACGGGAGGCAGCAGUGGGGAAUUUUGGACAAUGGGGGCAACCCUGAUCCAGCAAUGCCGCGUGUGCGAAGAAGGCCUUCGGGUUGUAAAGCACUUUUGGCGGGAACGAAACGGUGCCGGAUAAUACCUGGCGCCACUGACGGUACCCGCAGAAUAAGCACCGGCUAACUACGUGCC